GAGCUUCAUCAGCACAUAUAUUAAAAUUAAAAUGAUACAGAGAAGAUUGGCAUGAUUCUUGCACAAGGAUGACACACAAAUUAUUGAAGCAUUCCAUAUUUUU